rfam:Gossypium raimondii chromosome 7, whole genome shotgun sequence.
AGACCAUGAUGAGGGCAUCUUUAUACCAGCUACAUAAACCACUCCCAAGCUUUCUAAAAUUGUUCUGCUUCCAUCUGUUUGAAGUUGGUCAUAUCCCUUUUUAGUUG